UGUCGCGUCGGUUUCUUAUUGCCAAUUUGCCAUUUUAAAGUACAAGUAUAUUUUCGAAAGCAUACACGUUAAGUUUCCGUUCUUCUCUUCCUGGUUUUUAUGUGCAACUGCUGCAUGAUUUCAGCAAAGUACACCGCAGAUAGAGUGCCCUACAAAAUCUGAGUACUAGUUAAAUGUUUAUUCCAGUGAAACAGACUGAUAAAAGGCCAAACAAUUAAUCUUAAUACGCAGAAGUGCCGUUCAAGAUUGUGUAAAAUUUCGAAAACAAAAUAUUCUAGUCAAUGAAAAAUUUAUAAAAAAAAAAUUAUUGAUGGGGCUAAAGCGACCUACCACUUAUUUUUAAGUGUAUUUAUGUUUAUAAUCCAAAAUAAAAUCCUACAAGUUUAAAA